rnacentral:rRNA from 1 species
GACGAACGCUGGCGGCGUGCUUAACACAUGCAAGUCGAACGGAAAGGCCCUGCUUUUGUGGGGUGCUCGAGUGGCGAACGGGUGAGUAACACGUGAGUAACCUGCCCUUGACUUUGGGAUAACUUCAGGAAACUGGGGCUAAUACCGGAUAGGAGCUCCUGCUGCAUGGUGGGGGUUGGAAAGUUUCGGCGGUUGGGGAUGGACUCGCGGUUUAUCAGCUUGUUGGUGGGGUAGUGGCUUACCAAGGCUUUGACGGGUAGCCGGCCUGAGAGGGUGACCGGCCACAUUGGGACUGAGAUACGGCCCAGACUCCUACGGGAGGCAGCAGUGGGGAAUAUUGCACAAUGGGCGGAAGCCUGAUGCAGCAACGCCGCGUGCGGGAUGACGGCCUUCGGGUUGUAAACCGUUUUCGCCUGUGACGAAGCGUGAGUGACGGUAAUGGGUAAAGAAGCACCGGCUAACUACGUG